rnacentral:lncRNA from 1 species
GAGCUGAAGUCUCAUUUCCUGGAAACACAGGACUGGACUGCAGCCAUCCCUCAAAUGAGCCCCGACGGAGAAGACUUGGAGACGUGAGCUGGGGCUUCCGGUGGAUGCAUAUUAAACGCCUCGGACUAAAAGCUGAGGUCAUGGAUUACUUUCUCAUUGCUGUCAAAGAUGUGCGUGGAUCCCAGGAGUCCCAGUGGACCAACCACCGCCAGCUGUGGACUGCCCGCCGGCUCCACACCGCAGCUCAGAUGUGCUGCUUUCCAGGUGUUUAGUCCACGACUACAGAGCUGCUAUCAGGAUGGAUGGAUGAAUGGACAGGGGCUGAUUAACAGCCAGGAUGGGAGCUCCUGGGACGAUCUUCAGGGGAAGGUGAUGCUUGUCCUGAGCACCAGCCCUGGCAGGUGUCAAAAUCACUGGAGCCGUAUGUUUGGUAGUGCUAUGCCCUGUGCCCACCACGAACCGCAUGCUCCCCAGAACCUGGACUGCAGUUAUGGAACCAGGAUUAGACCAGAGCCAGUCAAAACCUUUCAUUAACUGGAACCAGAGGUUGAGAACUGACUCACCACAAAUG